UAUAUGACACGAUCUGUGUCUUUAUAUUUUCGAACAAGGGAAUCUAGCACCCCCACUCAGCUCAAAACAAUAACCCGGAAAUCGCGAUACACUUCAAGUGGGGGUGCAUCAAGUCAGGCUUAGGGCUUGACAACAACAGCAACAAACACGGAAAUUGGAAAUGUUUCGGAACUAACUCAGCUUGCUGUAAUUUUCUCUCUGUUUCAGUUAUCCAUGAAUAAACAGACAGACAGACAGACAGGCAGGCAAAUGGACAGACAGAGAUAGAGAUAAGCGAGAUAGAGAGAACAAGGAAUGGUACGACAGCAGAUUAAAUACUUUCAUGUCCUGAUUCUCCCUCUAGGUUCCUAAGACUUCGUCGUCAUGCUCUUAACCUUUCCCUCUUAAUAAAACUAUACCAGUGAUACACUACGGUCAAAACUAUAGCGCUUUCUCUCCAACCAAGCGCUAGUCACAACAACUUCUGCUACUUAAAUCAUAUGACUGGCCUAAUAGGCAAAAACGGAAUCGAUAAAUCACUAGAACACGUGACAUUUUCAUUUAAUGUCCAAAGUUUUCUCUUGGGUUAAUAAUUCCAAGAACAAAUUAUUAAACAACUCGCUUCCACUUAAUAAUUUCAUCCAUAAACAGAAUGGCACAGUUUUUCUGAUGAGAUAAGAGAGGUAUAUAACUCCCAUCAGCAGUAUCGCUACACGUAAACGUCUUAUACAGGUGCCAAGUCAUCAUCAUUAUCAAAUUCUACUCAGGAUGUCAAGGCAUUGCAAGAACAAACCUGAUAUAUUUUGUCAUGUUUGUGUUUGUUCCGAGAGCAUGUUCCAGUUGAAUGGCGCUUAUUCAUUGAUUCAUCUAAGAGAAGCCUCAAAGCAGUACUACUACACAACGGCAAUAAGAAACCAUCCAUUCUCAUAGGAUAUUCAGUGCACAUGAAGGAGUGUUCUGAAAACAUGCAAGUACUCCUCAAUGCCACAAACUACAGCUGGAAAAUAUGUGGAGACUUGAAGGUGAUUGGAAUGCUGAUGGGAAUGCAAUCUGGGUUCAUGAAAUAUUGUUGCUUGUUAUGUCUAUGGGACAGUCGUGCAACUAACAAACACUAUGUGCAAUCAGAGUGGCCUUUGCAAAAAUCAUGAGCCAAGAGUUUCUAGCGUCCAGUGCAAGCCACUUUUAAACCCAGAAAAUGUUCUCCUUCCCCCUUUUCACAUAAAGCUUGACCUCAUGAAACAAUUCAUGAAGACACUUGCCUGGAAAAGCUCAAAAGAUUUUGAAUAGGUGAAGGCCAAAUUUCCAAAAAUCACUGAGGCAAAACUGAAGGAAGACGUAUUCAUAGGUCCACAGAUAAAAGAACUCUUGAAGGACAACCACUUCCUCACAGCACUGGAUAAGAUUGAGCUUAAAGCCUGGGAAUCCUUCAAAUGGUUUUGUGAAAAUUUUCUAGGCAACAAGAGAUCUCUAGAGUUUAGAAAUGGAGCAAAAUGUCUUCUAGACUCCUACGCUGCAAUGGGCUGUCGGAUGUCACUAAAAGUCCAUUUCCUUGAUUCACAUCUGGACUUUUUUUGCAGAGAACCUCGGAGCAGUGUCUGAUGAGCAAGGGGAACGCUUUCAUCAAGAUAUUGCAUCGAUGGAACAACGAUAUCAAGGAUUUGGGAAUGCAGGAAUGUUAGCUGACUACUGUUGUAUGUUAUACAGGAAUGAACCUGAGACAAAACACCAUAGAAAGUCCAAAUCCCAAAGAUUUUAAGUUGUUAUGCAUUCGAGUGUAUUCUAACUUAUUUGUACACAAUAAUUUUAAUUUUGUACAAUAAAAAGCCAUGAAAUUAUCGUAUCUUCUAUUCAUUAUACUUUAUAUAGAUAUGCUUUACGUAUCCUAUAAGUUAAAACAGCAGGUAUCAUUAACAUGAAAAUGUGACCUGAUAGAGGAAAUCGGACUUCAGAUUCGUAAUCAGCAUAAAAAAU